GGGUAGCUCAGUCAGUAGAGCAUGAGACUCUUAAUCUCAGGGCCGUGGGUUCGAGUCUACAUUAGGCA